rnacentral:rRNA from 1 species
UGCCAGCCGCCGCGGUAAUACGGAGGGGGCAAGCGUUGUUCGGAAUCACUGGGCGUAAAGGGUCCGUAGGCGGCCGCAUAAGUCCCGGGUGAAAGCCCUGGGCUCAACUCAGGAAUUGCCCUGGAAACUGUGCGGCUAGAGUUCGGUAGAGGGAGACGGAAUUCCCGGUGUAGCGGUGAAAUGCGUAGAUAUCGGGAGGAACAUCUGUGGCGAAGGCGGUCUCCUGGGCCGAUACUGACGCUGAGGGACGAAAGCGUGGGGAGCAAACAGGAUUAGAUA